rnacentral:ncRNA from 1 species
GCGGGAUUCUGCAGGCUCCCGCCAUCGCGCUGCGCUGCAGCGGUUCCGCCGCGACGCGCACGAUCAGACGGUGUCCCGUCCAAGUUCUGC